GGGAAGAUUAGGAUAAGUCAAAUAGCGUGUGAAAGGGUUUUAGGUAGCACAGGGAGCUGUAGGCAGGGCCCAGAGAAGAAACAGAAGGCUCCCCUUAAGCAGGGGACUUAGAAGUUGGGUGGAGGUGGUUUGAAGAGUGCUAGGAUUCUACCUUAUUCCCUUUAUUAAAUAAACCUUGUUUCCAUAAGCCAAAGGUUUUGUGCUUACUUGGCCCUGGGAAGUUCCUAGGUGACUUGUAACAUCUAACAUCCCCCUAGGACAGUUCCCCAUAACACCAAGGCUAACAGGGUGAAGUACUUGCCCAGGGUCACACAGCUAGUAAGUGUCUGAGGUCUUAUUUUAACUCAGGUCUUUCAGAUUUGGGGACUUAGCUGCCUUUGAUAAAAGGAACAAUUCAUAACCAUCUGUUCAGUAAGUAAAGUAGCUCUGUAGCUUUCGUAAAGUAGCUCUGUAGCUUUCUUUCUUUCUUUCUUUCUUUCUUUCUUUCUUUCUUUCUUUCUUUCUUUCUUUCUUUCUUUCUUUCUUUCUUUCUUUCUUUCUUUCUCUCUCUCUCUCCUCUCUCUUUCUCUCUCUCUCUCUCUUUCUCUCUCUCUCUCUCUCUCUCUCUCUCUCUCUCUCUCUCUCUCUCUCUCUCUCUCUCUCUCUCUCUCUUCCUCUUCCAUCUUAGAAUCAAUACCAAGCACAGCUUCCAAAGCAGAGGAAUCUGGGUCUAUAUCCCAAAAGAGAUUUAAAAAAGGGCAAAGAACCUACUUGUACACAAAUAUUUAUACCUGCUCUUUUGGUGGUGGCAAAGAAUUGGAAAUGGAGGGGAUGUCCAUCAAUGGGGGAAAGGCGGAACAAAUUUGGUAUAUGAUGGUGAUGGAAUGCUCUGGGUGCUUUAAGGAAUGAUGAAAUGGAUAGCUCCCUAAAGAACUGGAAAGACCUACAUGAACUGAUGCAGAGUGAAAUAAGCAGAACCAGGAGAAUAUUGUACACAGAAACUGAAACAUUGUGGGAUGAUCAAAUGUGAUAGACUUAACUAUCAACAGCAACUCAAUGAUCCAGGACAAUUCUGAGGGACUUAGGACAAAGAAUGCUGUCCACCUCCAGAGAAAGAACUAUUGAAGUCAGAAUGCAGAUGAAAGUAUACUAUUUUUCACUUUAAUUAAUUAAUUUUUUUUUAAUUUGGGAGUUUUGGUUUUAUAUGAUUAUUCUCUUACAAAAAAGGAACAAUGUGGAAAUAUGUUUUGAGUGAUAAUACACAUAUAACCCAGAUCAAAUUGCUUGUCAGCUCUGGGAGGGAGAAGGUAAGGGAAGAAGGGAGAUAAUUUGAAUCAUAAAACUUUGGAAAACAUAUCAAAAUUUGUUCUUACAUGUAAUUAGUAAGAAUAAAAUAUCUUUAUAAAAAAUAAUGUAAUCA
rnacentral:lncRNA from 1 species